AUUGAACGCUGGCGGCAGGCCUAACACAUGCAAGUCGAACGGCAGCACAGAAGAGCUUGCUCUUUGGGUGGCGAGUGGCGGACGGGUGAGUAAUGUCUGGGAAACUGCCCGAUGGAGGGGGAUAACUACUGGAAACGGUAGCUAAUACCGCAUAACGUCGCGAGACCAAAGUGGGGACCUCCGGGCCUAACACCAUCGGAUGGGCCCAGAUGGGAUUAGAUAGUAGGGGGGGGAAUGGCUCACCUAGGCGACGAUCCCUAGCUGGUCUGAGAGGAUGACCAGCCAAACUGGAACUGAGACACGGUCCAGACUCCUACGGGAGGCAGCAGUGGGGAAUAUUGCACAAUGGGCGCAAGCCUGAUGCAGCCAUGCCGCGUGUAUGAAGAAGGCCUUCGGGUCGUAAAGUACUUUCAGCGGGGAGGAAGGCGGUGAGGUUAAUAACCUCGCCGAUUGACGUUACCCGCAGAAGAAGCACCGGCUAACUCCGUGCCAGCAGCCGCGGUAA
rnacentral:rRNA from 1 species